CUAGAAGUGCUAACACCCUUAGCACACAACAUUAAAUAAGACGAGAGUUUCACUCAGUGUGAAUAUUGCAGCAGAGACGUCUGAUAUGAUCUGGUAGGGGC